AUGCAGUCCUAUAGGUGUUUGUGUUCAUGCCUACAAGUGAUUUAUUGUGAAGUUAGGCAAGAUGAAGCUGGGACAAGGCCGAAUCGUGUGGCAGAACCACCUCCUUCUAGUGCGUCGCCUCCUCNUUCCAGCAUGCCGCCACCGCCGCAACCCUCCACCGUCAAGGUCGCACGUGUGUCGUCCUCAGUCCAACCCCAAUGCAUUAGGGUGGUCGAGUUCGUCACGAGUAGCAAUCCAUGGCUGUCGGGUUCAACUUUCCUCAUCGCGAGGCUUGUACUCUUCUCCUAUGAGCUCUCUCUCACUUCUGUUGUUCAUUUUUACUGCUGCUUCAAUUUCCUUGUGAUGCAAAAUGUUGUUGAUGAACAUUACUAG
rnacentral:rRNA from 1 species